AAAUUGAAGAGUUUGAUCAUGGCUCAGAUUGAACGCUGGCGGCAGGCCUAACACAUGCAAGUCGAGCGGAAACGACAACAUUGACUCUUCGGAUGAUUUGUUGGGCGUCGAGCGGCGGACGGGUGAGUAAUGCUUAGGAAUUUGCCCUUAUGAGGGGGACAACAGUUGGAAACGACUGCUAAUACCGCAUACGCUCCUU
rnacentral:ncRNA from 1 species